AACGGCCAUACCAUGCUGAAUAUACCGGUUCUCGUUAGAUCACCGAAGUCAAGCAUCAUUGGGCGCUGUCAGUACUUGGGUGGGUGGGUGACCACCUGGGAACACUGCGUGCUGU
rnacentral:rRNA from 1 species